rnacentral:rRNA from 1 species
CCUACGGGUGGCAGCAGUGGGGGAUAUUGCACAAUGGGGGGAACCCUGAUGCAGCGACGCCGCGUGGGUGAAGGAGCGUUUCGGCGCGUAAAGCCCUAUCGGUAGGGAAGAAGAUGAUGGUACCUGACCAAGAAGCCCCGGCUAACUACGUGCCAGCAGCCGCGGGAAUACGUAGGGGGCAAGCGUUAUACGGAUUUACUGGGUGUAAAGGGGGCGCAGACGGCAUGGCAAGCCAGGAGUGAAAGCCGGGGGCCCAACCCCGGGACUGCUCUUGGAACUGCAUGGCUUGAGUACAGGAGGGGCGGGCGGAAUUCCUAGUGUAGCGGUGAAAUGCGUAGAUAUUAGGAGGAACACCGGUGGCGAAGGCGGCCUGCUGGACUGUGACUGACGUUGAGGCUCGAAGGCGUGGGGAGCAAACAGGAUUAGAUACCCCGGUAGUC